UACGUAGGGUGCAAGCGUUAAUCGGAAUUACUGGGCGUAAAGCGUGCGCAGGCGGUUUUGUAAGUCUGACGUGAAAUCCCCGGGCUUAACCUGGGAAUGGCAUUUGUGACUGGAAGGCUAGAGUGUGUCAGAGGGGGGUAGAAUUCCACGUGUAGCAGUGAAAUGCGUAGAGAUGUGGAGGAAUACCGAUGGCGAAGGCAGCCCCCUGGGAUAACACUGACGCUCAUGCACGAAAGCGUGGGGAGCAAACAGG
rnacentral:rRNA from 1 species